rnacentral:misc_RNA from 1 species
UGUUGUUUACAAAUGACUAAUACCAAUUAAUUAACAAGCGAAGCAUUUAAAGAAUUUCCAGCUACAACAAUAUAAAAACCAAAGUUUUAGUUAACAAGAGGAAGCCUCUGUCAACUUUUCUCAUAUACUGGAAGCUCCUUAAGAUCUUCCAGAACAUAUCUAUGCAUAACACUCGCUUCAUGAAUCAUUCUAGUAGGCAAAGGAAAAAUAAAACCAUUAAGUCUGAGAUUUCUACUCCUUGCAGCUAUGCUGUUAAGGAGCUUUGUACAACAAAUAGUUACAAAAGAAAGGAUCAGUCACUGAUCACCACCUUAUGCAGGGCUCAGCCUUUUCUUCCUUCCCCUACAGCUGAGGCUUCGCAUCAAAUUUGGAAGGCAACACUGAGCAGAAUGUGCUGGUUUACCUUUUGUGUGAAUGCAGUACCCAUUUGUUGUUCCACUACAAGUAGAGCCGUUUACCGAUUCAUAGGGCCUUCUAUUUCUGCAUUUAGAAGGAAGGUAAAAGGUCAUAGGCUUGGCUUCUGUCAUGUCUUGUAAGUUUUGAUUGUUAUCAACAUCAGUGUUGAAGCUUUCGUGGAAGAACUCAAUUAGUUGCUUCUUCAUAUCAGUUGGAGAGGAAUCAGGCAUUGAAUUUACAGAGCUGCUGAUGUAAAGAGAUUCAUCAUAUUCAGGAUUUUUUAUGAAGCUGUUCUGGUGAAGUGGAGAAGUACUACUCAAUGGGGUAAAAUCUGCACAAAUGCUAUAACUCGGUAAAAAACCAAAUAUAGAAGUAGAGAACCUUUGACAAAGUUGUACGGCCUCAGAGGACCUAUACAGAAUGUGCUUGAGAGACAAAAUUUCUGGAAUCUUACCACCGUUGACACUGACGAAAUCUUCAAUAUCAGAUUCUAACCAAGGCUGAGAAUCGAAAAACAUUUCCUCCCUAUUGCCUGCAUAAGCAACAGGCAUGCUUCAAUCAAACAAAUGCAUACGUUAAAGAUAUCCCAAUUUAUUUAUGAAAAAGUUUUUUUCCACGACUGCUAAUGUAACAUGGUCCUGGUUAGGCCUUCCUUGGCCUCACAUAAUCGUCGAAGAUCAUGAAUUUUUCUAUCUCAUUAUACAGGUUAUCUUCUAGGACUAGUAACUUUUAGAAGCAUCCCACUCUGAAAUAUGCUCAACCUUCAUAUCUAGAACCUAAAUUAGGCAAAAAAUGAAGCUAUAGUGGCUAAACUGCUUGACUACACGGUAAGCUCGCCAUCAUUACAGAGACCAAGGCUGUAACAUUUUCUGUAUAUGAAAGAAAUUGUUGUUUGAAGCUGAAAGUCUUAAUCUGCCAAGGGCACAUCUAUUUAAUUGUGAUCACCUUAUACAAGAUUUAAAAAAUCAUAUACAACUAAAAAGCAUUAUGAUCAAUAAACAUGUAAGCAACUUCAGGCUUUGAAAAUGUAAAACACAGAUGGGUAUGCAAAAGAAAGAAAAUAUACAUUAAUAGAAUAAACUUAGAAUCAUACUCAAGUCUCCAAAACUCGCUUCGUAAGGCAUUUGAGAUGAGGAUUGAAGCUUGGAAUUGAGUUCUUUCAUUGAGAGAUCACCAUUAACUUUGUCUUCCUUAAUGGGUGAUUCAAUUCGAACACAGUUGCCUUCAGAAUUGACUGAGCUUUUAAGAGUCAUGGCUGGUUCUGUGUUUUUCUGAGCUGAAACACAAUUUCCCAUGUCUGUAACAAUAGUCUAUGCUUCCAUCAUAGAACUUGAAAUUCUGUUAACUUCAUUCGUAAGAGAGAGUGGUUUAACGCUUGAAGAAGAUAAAGUUGGUCACUCCAACUACAAUCUGGAGAGGAAGUUGAUUGGUCUUGAAAGCGAAGUAAUGGCAUUUACAGAGGUGGGUCCUCAAAAAAAA